rnacentral:rRNA from 1 species
ACUUGUGCUAAUACCGGAUAAGUCUUUACGGAGAAAGCUUUAUGCACCAUUGGAUGAGCCUGCACUUGAUUAGUUUGUUGGUGGGGUAAUGGCCUACCAAGACUGUGAUCAAUAGCUGAUUUGAGAGGAUGAUCAGCCACAUUGGGACUGAGACACGGCCCAAACUCCUACGGGAGGCAGCAGUGGGGAAUCUUGCACAAUGGAGGAAACUCUGAUGCAGCGAUGCCGCGUGAGUGAAGAAGGCCCUUGGGUUGUAAAGCUCUUUCGUCG